rnacentral:lncRNA from 1 species
CUAGCAUACAAUGUUACAUUCUGGUUGACUCCUAACACUCAACCUGUGACCUCUGACCUUUCCCCUGUAGUUUACCAAGGAAGAGUCCUCCCACCCAGGCCAAGAAGCCUAAAGGUUCUCCUGAGCCCACCAUAGAGCUGGAGAUCCAGUCAGUGUAACUGGGAACAGCAUCGGAAACUGGGCGUUCUGUGUCGGCGCAUGACCCAGAACCGUCUGCCCGAACCCUUCAACGUCGGCCGCUACCACGUCCACAUCCUCUCCAACACACACACACACAUGCAAGGCCGAGGGCUACAUCAGCAUAUUGAAGGUGUGCAUCCAGUAAGGCCAAAGACGACAAUACCGAUGAUAUUGACGAAUCCGAUAGUGAAGUCACAGAUGACAGUGAUGAAGAGGAGGAGGAGGAAGUGGGCAUCCCUAAGCCAGAGCCUGAGAUGCCAGAGAUGCAAGUCGGCGUGACUCGCUUUCUGACUGGAGUGGUGCCAGCAGGCAGACUGAGAGCCAGGAAGAAACAACCAGCCAGGUGAACGGUAAAUCAUACUCCCAGGCCCGGCUGCUGCUGGGGCAGAUGGGAGCUCUGCACCCGACCAAUCGACUGGCCGCGUUCGUCACCGGAAGGUUGCGCUCUGUAGCGAAGGCCCCUCAAAAGCCUCUCUACUGCUCACCCAGGUUGAAGAAAACACCUGUGGGCACUGGGCGCUUAAAGACAGCAGGCACUGCUGUUACUCCUUUAGGCAGUAGUAGUGUUACAUCUAUGUCUAUGGCCCAGAAAGUAUUCCAGACACCAGCAGGGAAGAACAAGCUUCCUCCCUACAAACCACCAUGGUCCCUAGGUGUCACCAAAUCUAAAGGAAAAACCUCCAAUAGUCAAACCACCACCACCACCACAGACCCUAAAGACCCAGCCAGCUCUCACCUGCUGCUGAUCCCCAUGGCCUCUCCUGCCCCAGGCACCUCCCCAGGCUCUCGUCCUGGUGUGGUGCCCCCCGCAGGGAAGAAGAUGCUACUACAGACAGUCGCUUCCUCCCAGGGCUGUAAAACGUAUCAUCAGACCAACGGACAGAUGAUGAAACCGGUACCUCUGAAUCAGAUAUGUCACAUAAAGGCCAAGAAUCAAAAAAAGACC